rnacentral:rRNA from 11 species
UGUAAUGAAUAUAUGUAAAUGAAGGCACCACAUUCCAUCUGAUCUAGGAAGCUAAGCAGGGUCAGCUCCAAUUCGUACUUGGAUGGGAGACCAUCAAUAAAUACUAGUGCCAUGGGCU